rnacentral:rRNA from 1 species
GACGAACGCUGGCGGCGUGCUUAACACAUGCAAGUCGAACGGAAAGGCCCUGCUUUUGUGGGGUGCUCGAGUGGCGAACGGGUGAGUAACACGUGAGUAACCUGCCCUUGACUUUGGGAUAACUUCAGGAAACUGGGGCUAAUACCGGAUAGUAGCUCCUGCUGCAUGGUGGGGGUUGGAAAGUUUCGUCGGUUGGGGAUGGACUCGCGGCUUAUCAGCUUGUUGGUGGGGUAGUGGCUUACCAAGGCUUUGACGGGUAGCCGGCCUGAGAGGGUGACCGGACACAUUGGGACUGAGAUACGGCCCAGACUCCUACGGGAGGCAGCAGUGGGGAAUAUUGCACAAUGGGCGGAAGCCUGAUGCAGCAACGCCGCGUGCGGGAUGACGGCCUUCGGGUUGUAAACCGCUUUCGCCUGUGACGAAGCGUGAGUGACGGUAAUGGGUAAAGAAGCACCGGCUAACUACGUG